rnacentral:rRNA from 1 species
UGGGGAAUAUUGGACAAUGGGCGCAAGCCUGAUCCAGCCAUGCCGCGUGGAUGAAGAAGGCCCUAGGGUUGUAAAGUCCUUUCGCUAGGGAAGAUAAUGACGGUACCUAGUAAAGAAGCCCCGGCUAAUUUCGUGCCAGCAGCCGCGGUAAUACGAAAGGGGCUAGCGUUGUUCGGAAUUACUGGGCGUAAAGCGCACGUAGGCGGCAAUGUAAGUUGGGGGUGAAAUCCCGGGGCUCAACUCCGGAACUGCCUCCAAAACUACAUAGCUAGAGGUUGUGAGAGGAUAGUGGAAUUCCAAGUGUAGAGGUGAAAUUCGUAGAUAUUUGGAAGAACACCAGUGGCGAAGGCGACUGUCUGGCACAUUUCUGACGCUGAGGUGCGAAAGCGUGGGGAGCAAACAGGAUUAGAUACCCCCGUAGUCC